UACGUAGGGUGCAAGCGUUAAUCGGAAUUACUGGGCGUAAAGCGUGCGCAGGCGGUGAUGUAAGACAGAUGUGAAAUCCCCGGGCUCAACCUGGGAACUGCAUUUGUGACUGCAUCGCUGGAGUGCGGCAGAGGGGGAUGGAAUUCCUGGUGUAGCAGUGAAAUGCGUAGAUAUCAGGAGGAACACCGAUGGCGAAGGCAGGUCUCUGGGCUGACACUGACGCUCAUGCACGAAAGCGUGGGGAGCAAACAGG
rnacentral:rRNA from 1 species